rnacentral:rRNA from 1 species
GACGAACGCUGGCGGCGUGCUUAACACAUGCAAGUCGAACGAUGAUGCCCAGCUUGCUGGGUGGCUUAGUGGCGAACGGGUGAGUAACACGUGAGUAACCUGCCCCUGACUCUGGGAUAAGCGGUGGAAACGACGUCUAAUACUGGAUAUGACCGCCGGCCGCAUGGUCGGGUGGUGGAAAGAUUUUUUGGUUGGGGAUGGACUCGGGGUCGAUCAGCUUGUUGGUGAGGUAAUGGCUCAUCAAGGUGCCGACGGGUAGCCGGCCUGAGAGGGUGACCGGCCACACUGGGACUGAGACACGGCCCAGACUCCUACGGGAGGCAGCAGUGGGGAAUAUUGCACAAUGGGCGAAAGCCUGAUGCAGCAACGCCGCGUGAGGGAUGACGGCCUGCGGGUUGUAAACCUCUUUUAGUAGGGAAGAAGCGAAAGUGACGGUACCUGCAGAAAAAGCACCGGCUAACUACGUGCCAGCAGCCGCCGUAA